GCAUCAGUAGCUCAGCAAAGAGCAUUGGUCUUGUAAGCCAAAGGCCGGAGGUUUGACUCCUCCCUGCUGCU
rnacentral:tRNA from 1 species